UCGAUGCUCCGGUCGCAUGGCCGCGGGAUUUCCGGUUGAUCCUGCCGGACUGACUGCUAUCGGAUUGAUACUCAAGCCAUGCGAGUCAUUGUAGCAAUACAAUGCAUACGGCUCAGUAACGCGUAGUCAACCUAACCUAUGGACGGGAAUAACCUCGGGAAACUGAGAAUAAUGCCCGAUAGAACAUUAUGCCUGGAAUGGUUUAUGUUCCAAAUGAUUUAUCGCCGUAGGAUGGGACUGCGGCCUAUCAGUUUGUUGGUGAGGUAAUGGCCCACCAAGACUAUUACAGGUACGGGCUCUGAGAGGAGUAGCCCGGAGAUGGGUACUGAGACACGGACCCAGGCCCUAUGGGGCGCAGCAGGCGAGAAAACUUUGCAAUGUGCGAAAGCACGACAAGGUUAAUCCGAGUGGUUUCUGCUAAAGGAACCUUUUGUCAGUCCUAGAAACACUGAUGAAUAAGGGGUGGGCAAGUUCUGGUGUCAGCCGCCGCGGUAAAACCAGCACCUCAAGUGGUCAGGAUGAUUAUUGGGCCUAAAGCAUCCGUAGCCGGCUCUGUAAGUUUUCGGUUAAAUCUGUACGCUCAACGUACAGGCUGCCGGGAAUACUGCAAAGCUAGGGAGUGGGAGAGGUAGACGGUACUCGGUAGGAAGGGGUACAAUCCUUUGAUCUAUUGAUGACCACCUGUGGCGAAGGCGGUCUACCAGAACACGUCCGACGGUGAGGGAUGAAAGCUGGGGGAGCAAACCGGAU
rnacentral:rRNA from 1 species